ACAGACACAUAAUGUCAAUAGUCCGUUCAUCUGUCCACGCCAAAUGGGUUGUGGGGAAGGUGACUGGUACAGCAAUGGUAAAAACUGCUAAAGUAAGAGCGACCAGACUCGUGUUGGAUCCCUACUUACUGAAGUACUUUAAUAAGCGGAAAACCUACUUUGCUCACGAUGCCCUUCAGCAAUGCAGCGUUGGGGACAUCGUGCUCCUCAGAGCUUUGCCCGUCCCACGAUCAAAGCAUGUGAAACAUGAACUGGCUGAGAUCAUCUUCAAAGUCGGUGGAGUUAUCGACCCAGUCACAGGAAAGCCCUGUGCAGGAACCGCCUACCUAGAGAGACCCCUAGUUUCAGAAUCCACUCCCCUCAGCGAAACUCGGGAAGAGCUCAAGGUCUCCUGAACCUAGGGAAGAAGGAGCCAGAGGGAUUUCUGUCUCUGCGUUUGCUCAAUGGCUUUCAUUACUGUCCAGUUUCUCCUGUGACAUCAGACGUAGUAAGCAAAGUAAAGAGCUUAGUGUUC